AGCGAACGCUGGCGGCAGGCCUAACACAUGCAAGUCGAACGAACUCUUCGGAGUUAGUGGCGGACGGGUGAGUAACACGUGGGAACGUGCCUUUUGGUUCGGAAUAACUCAGGGAAACUUGUGCUAAUACCGAAUGUGCCCUUCGGGGGAAAGAUUUAUCGCCAUUAGAGCGGCCCGCGUCUGAUUAGCUAGUUGGUGAGGUAACGGCUCACCAAGGCGACGAUCAGUAGCUGGUCUGAGAGGAUGACCAGCCACACUGGGACUGCGACACGGCCCAGACUCCUACGGGAGGGAGCAGUGGGGAAUCUUGCGCAAUGGGCGAAAGCCUGACGCAGCCAUGCCGCGUGAAUGAUGAAGGUCCUAGGAUUGUAAAAUUCUUUCACCGGGGACGAUAAUGACGGUACCCGGAGAAGAAGCCCCGGCUAACUUCGUG
rnacentral:rRNA from 1 species